AUGGCUGAGGAGAAUCCUUCAUCUGGAGAUGCAGUCACUGAGCAAGACAUUGCAUCGGAUAACCACUCAGCAGUGGAGGAGGUUUCCAAAGAAAAUGAACAAGAUGAGAAUAAGAGCAAGGAGGAAGGAACAAAGAGAGUACCAUAUUACAAGCUCUUCUCCUUUGCUAACUCUGUGGAUUACAUGUUAAUGUCCACUGGUACAAUCAGCGCCGUUGGAAAUGGACUCUGUACGCCCCUGAUGACUGUAGUCAUGGGAGAUAUGAUUAAUUCCUUUGGAGAAACUAGGAAUAACAAGGAAGUGGCUAAUGCAGUUUCCAAGGUGGCUUUGAAGUUCUUUUACUUGGCGGGGCUGCUGCUGCAUCAUUUCUACAGAUGUCUUGCUGGAUGAUCACUGGAGAGAGACAGGCUGCACGAAUACGAAGUCUAUACUUAAGAACCAUUCUGAGGCAAGAUGUUGGCUUUUUUGAUAAAGAAAUCAACUCUGGCGAAAUUGUUGGGAGGUUGUCAGGUGAUACCGUGCUUAUUCAAGAGGCCAUGGGCGAGAAGGUAGGAAGUUUCAUUCAGUUAGUUGCAACCUUCAUCAGUGGCUUUGUAAUAGCAUUUACUAAAGGAUGGCUUCUCACCCUUGUUAUGCUAUCCUCUAUUCCCCCUCUUGCCUUUACUACUGGUGUCCUGAACCAUUUCAUAGUGAAAUUGGCAUCCCGCGGACAAGCUGCAUAUUCAGAAGGGGCAACUGUUGUGGAGGAAACAAUUGGUUCGAUCCGAACUGUUGCAUCAUUCACAGGGGAGAAGCAAGCUGUAUCCAACUAUAAUGCCUCCUUAACUAAAGCUUACAAGUCAGCUGUACAAGAGGGGGUUGGACAUCUGGUUUGGGUUUUGGUGCGGUUAUGCUUAUGGUAUUCUCUAGUUACGCUUUGGCUGUAUGGUUUGGCGGAAUAAUGAUACUUGAAAAAGGAUAUAAAGGAGGAGAUGUCAUGAAUGUAAUUGUUGCUGUCUUAAUUGGCUCUGUGUCUCUUGGGAAAGCAUCACCAUGCAUUAGAGCAUUUGCUCCUGGACAAGCUGCAGCUUACAAGAUGUUUGAGACCAUUAACAGAAAGCCAGAUAUAGAUGCGUAUGACACCAAGGGGCGGGUAUUACAUGAUAUUCGAGGAGACAUAGAACCGAAAGAUGUUGAUUUUAGUUAUCCCUCAAGACCGGAUCAGCAAAUAUUACAUGGAUUUUGUCUCUCAAUACCUAGUGGUGCAACUGCUGCUUUGGUUGGACAGAGUGGAAGUGGUAAAUCUACUAUAAUCAGUUUGAUUGAGAGGUUCUAUGAUCCACAAGCUGGUGAAGUUCUUAUUGAUGGUGUUAAUUUGAAAGAGUUCCAACUGAAAUGGAUCCGACAAAAAAUAGGCCUCGUCUGCCAGGAACCAGUUUUAUUUACUGGUAGCAUCAAAGAUAAUAUUGCCUAUGGAAAGGAAGGAGCAACUACUGAAGAAAUAAAGGCUGCUGCUGAGCUUGCCAAUGCCUCAAAAUUUAUAGAUUUAAUGCCUCAGGGAAUCAACACAAUGGUUGGUGUGCACGGAACUCAGCUAUCUGGGGGACAAAAGCAAAGAGUUGCUAUAGCUAGAGCAAUUCUGAAGAACCCAAGAAUCCUACUUUUGGAUGAAGCCACAAGUGCUCUUGACACACAAUCUGAGAGAGUUGUGCAGGAGGCACUGGACAGAAUAAUGAUUAAUCGUACUACUGUCAUAGUAGCUCACCGCUUGAGCACAGUGAGGAAUGCUGACACCAGUGCUGUAAUACAUCAUGGAAAGAUUGCUGAAAAAGGAUCACAUUGGGAGCUACUUAGGGAUUGUGAUGGAGCAUAUAGCCAGCUUAUAAGAAACGAGCACUGUGUCAGAACAUACUGGUCUAAAUGGUCGUGAUUCGUUCUUAUCAUUCAUGACUUUAGAAUCAUCCCCAAGAAGAAAUAGUAUAUCGUCUCCAAGAAGAAAUAGUAGAUCAUCUCCAAGAUGAAAUAGUAGUCCUAUCUCAUUCUCAAACUCAUUUGGUAUUCCUACCCCGAGCAGUAUGCUUGAAACAGAACAUGUAGAACCUGAUGUUCCUGGUCCAGCACUAUCAAAAGGACUACCAAAAGUCUCACUUCGACGACUGGCUUACCUGAACAAGCCAGAGUUCCCAAUUCUAUUUCUAGGUACAAUUGCUGCAGCAGUUAACGGGGUAAUCUUCCCUAUUUUUGGGAGUUUGAUGGCGAGUGUAAUCAAGACAUUCUUUGAGCCACCUCAUGAACUCCGUAAAGAUUCAAAGUUUUGGGCAUUAAUGUUUUUGGUCCUUGGAACGGCAUCUCUGUUGGCUAGUCCAUCGAGAGCAUAUCUUUUUGCUGUUGCAGGAUGUAGACUAAUCAAACGAAUCCGAGAAAUGUGCUUUGAGAAGGUGGUUUACAUGGAAGUAAGUUGGUUUGAUGAAGCUGAACACUCAAGUGGUGCAAUUGGCGCAAGGCUUUCCACAGAUGCAGCAUCUUUAAGAGGGCUAGUUGGAGAUUCUCUAGGUUUGGCUGUUGAGAACAUGGCAACUGCAAUUGCUGGGGUGUUCAUUGCUUUUGUUGCAAAUUGGCAACUGGCUCUUGUAAUGCUUGUUCUGUUUCCUUUAUUAGGAGUAAAUGUAUAUUUACAAGUCCAGUUCAUGAAAGGAUUCAGUGAAGAUGCUAAGAAAAUGUACGAGGAUGCAAGCCAAGUAGCUAGUGAUGCUGUGGGAAGUAUUCGGACAAUUGCUUCCUUUUGUGCUGAAGAGAAGGUGAUUGAGUUGUACAAGAAAAAAUGUAAAGGCCCUAUUAAGACUGGGAUAAGACUAGGGUUAGUUACUGGGAUAGGUUUCGGGAUAUCAUUAUUUUUACAGUUUUCAGUGUUUGCCUUGAGCUUUUAUAUCGGAGGUCUACUUGUUGGGGCAGGCAAGACAACAUUCUCUGCUGUUUUCCGGGUUUUCUUUGCUCUUACUAUGACUUCUGUAGGACUUGCUCAGUCGACCUCCCUAGCACCUGAUGCAAGUAAAGCUAGGGUGUCUGCUGAUUCCAUAUUUGCAAUUCUUGACAGGAAAUCAAAAAUAGACUCUAGUGAUAACUCAGGUAUGAUUAUAGAAGACUUGAAGGGAGAAAUUGAAUUUCAUCAUGUCAGCUUCAAGUAUCCUAGUAGACUUGAUGUGCACAUUUUAAACGAUUUUCGCUUGACUUUUAGUCAUGGCAAGACAAUUGCUCUGGUUGGUGAAAGUGGAAGUGGGAAGUCAACAGUGAUCUCAUUGAUUCAAAGAUUUUACGACCCAAAUUCAGGUCGCAUUACACUGGAUGGAAUCGAAAUCCAGAAACUGCAAUUGAAGUGGUUGAGACAGCAAAUGGGGCUAGUGAGCCAGGAGCCUCUGCUGUUUAAUGAGACUAUCCGAGCUAACAUUGCAUAUGGAAAGGAUGGAGAGGCAACCGAGGCUGAAAUUACAGCUGCUGCAGAUCUCGCAAAUGCACACCAGUUUAUUAGUAGUUUACAACAUGGUUAUAAUACAAUAGUGGGGGAGCGAGGGGUUCAACUGUCUGGUGGACAGAAGCAAAGAAUAGCUAUUGCAAGAGCUAUUAUGAAGGCACCAAAGAUUUUAUUGCUAGAUGAAGCCACAAGUGCUCUUGAUGCUGAAUCAGAACGCGUGGUUCAAGAUGCAUUGGAUCGAGUUAUGGUGGAUAGAACCACAAUUGUGGUUGCUCACCGGUUAUCCACAAUCAAGGGUGCAGAUCUAAUUGCUGUGGUGAAAAAUGGAGUCAUUGCAGAGAAAGGAAAGCAUGAAAGAUUGAUCAAUAUCAGCAAUGGCAUUUAUGCAUCAUUGGUAGCAUUACAUGCAAGUGCCUCAUCUUAG